GACGAACGCUGGCGGCGUGCCUAAUACAUGCAAGUAGAACGCUGAAGGAGGAGCUUGCUUCUCUGGAUGAGUUGCGAACGGGUGAGUAACGCGUAGGUAACCUGCCUGGUAGCGGGGGAUAACUAUUGGAAACGAUAGCUAAUACCGCAUAAGAGUAGAUGUUGCAUGACAUUUGCUUGAAAGGUGCAAUUGCAUCACUACCAGAUGGACCUGCGUUGUAUUAGCUAGUUGGUGGGGUAACGGCUCACCAAGGCGACGAUACAUAGCCGACCUGAGAGGGUGAUCGGCCACACUGGGACUGAGACACGGCCCAGACUCCUACGGGAGGCAGCAGUAGGGAAUCUUCGGCAAUGGACGGAAGUCUGACCGAGCAACGCCGCGUGAGUGAAGAAGGUUUUCGGAUCGUAAAGCUCUGUUGUAAGAGAAGAACGAGUGUGAGAGUGGAAAGUUCACACUGUGACGGUAUCUUACCAGAAAGGGACGGCUAACUACGUG
rnacentral:rRNA from 1 species